UACGAAGGGGGCUAGCGUUGUUCGGAAUUACUGGGCGUAAAGCGCGCGCAGGCGGUUCUUCAAGUCAGAGGUGAAAGCCCAGAGCUCAACUCUGGAAUGGCCUUUGAGACUAGAGAACUAGGGUACGGGAGAGGUGAGUGGAAUUCCGAGUGUAGAGGUGAAAUUCGUAGAUAUUCGGAAGAACACCAGUGGCGAAGGCGGCUUACUGGACCGGUUCUGACGCUGAGGCACGAAAGCCAGGGGAGCAAACAGG
rnacentral:rRNA from 1 species